rnacentral:rRNA from 1 species
GUGGGGAAUAUUGGACAAUGGGCGAAAGCCUGAUCCAGCCAUGCCGCGUGUGUGAAGAAGGUCUUCGGAUUGUAAAGCACUUUAAGUUGGGAGGAGGGGCAGUAAGUUAAUACCUUGCUGUUUUGACGUUACCGACAGAAUAAGCACCGGCUAACUUCGUGCCAGCAGCCGCGGUAAUACGAAGGGUGCAAGCGUUAAUCGGAAUUACUGGGCGUAAAGCGCGCGAAGGUGGUUUUGUAAGUUGGAGGUGAAAUCCCCGGGCUCAACCCGGGAACUGCCUCCAAAAUUUCAUGACUAGAUUACGGUAGAGGGUAGUGGAAUUUCCUGUGUAUCGGUGAAAUGCGUAGAUAUAGGAAGGAACACCAGUGGCGAAGGCGACUACCUGGACUGAUACUGACACUGAGGUGCGAAAGCGUGGGGAGCAAACAGGAUUAGAAACCCUUGUAGUCC